ACUGUGGCUCUUAAAAUGUGAAGCAGCUGGGAUGAGGAUCAGCACCUCUAAAUCUGAGGCCAUGGUUCUCAGGAGGAAACCGGUGGAUUGCCUGCUCUGGGUAGGGAAUACAGCCUUGCCCCAAGUGAAGGAGUUCAAGUA